CCCACCCACGCGGGGGCGCCCUCUGCUGCUCCCAGCUCCAGCCGCCGAAGAGGGCCCGAGACCUCAGGUGCUGUGCUGGAUUCUGGGGAACUGUCCUCAGUGCCCCACCUGUCACCACCACGUGGAACAGAGCUGGAUGAGACGUUGUCUCAGUUCCUGAGGCCUGACCGCGCCCUGCUUCUGUGGUACAACUCUUGCCCGUCCUUUCGGGGGGUGUGGUCAAUUCCUGACCAGGAAGAGUUUUGAAACAGCCACGUGCAGAAGGAGAUGCUCAGUGAACGAAUGAGGAAUGAAUGAAGCAAGUGGAGGGCCUGCCCCGCUGUCCAGUCAGGUCCUUUGUCCUCCCGUCAGCAGUGGCCCUCUGACCGCCAUUCCUACAGAUGCCGAGAAGCCCACCUGUGGUCAAGGCAGAGGCAGAGACACACACCACUUCCCCACCUGUCCCACCUCUGUCUCCAAACGGUGGAAGGAAGCUCUAGGUCUUUGUGCAAGCUUCCCAACUGACAUGAAGCUGCUUUACUCAUCUGUCCAUGCCACACAAUCCUGCCCCUUCAUCAGGUGGCAUCAGAAGGCCACUUCCUCCAGCAAGAUUCCAAGAUU